AAUAUCAUAGAGACCUUGGUUUUUAUGAUCAAAGAUGGCCUCUCCUUGGAAGCUAUUGUUUGGAGAUGAGCCCGCGUCCCAUUAGCUUGUUGGUGGGGUAAUGGCCUACCAAGGCUACGAUGGGUAGCUGGUCUGAGAGGAUGAUCAGCCACACUGAACUGACACACGGUCCAGACUCCUACGGGAGGCAGCAGUGAGGAAUUUUGCGCAAUGGGGGAAACCCUGACGCAGCAACGCCGCGUGAGUGAUGAAGGCUUUCGGGUCGUAAAGCUCUGUCAAGUGGGAAGAACUCCCGUGAGGUUAAUACCCUCAUGGUUUGACGGUACCACUGAAGGAAGCACCGGCUAACUCCGUGCCAGCAGCCGCGGUAAUACGGGGGGUGCAAGCGUUAUUCGGAUUUACUGGGCGUAAAGCGCGCGUAGGCGGCCGUUUAAGUCAGAUGUGAAAGCCCGGGGCUCAACCCCGGAAGUGCAUUUGAUACUAUUCGGCUUGAGUAUGGGAGAGGGAAGUGGAAUUCCUGGUGUAGAGGUGAAAUUCGUAGAUAUCAGGAGGAACACCGGUGGCGAAGGCGACUUCCUGGACCAAUACUGACGCUGAGGCGCGAAGGCGUGGGUAGCAAACAGGAUUAGAUACCCUGGUAGUCCACGCAGUAAACGGUGAUCACUAGGUGUAGCGGGUAUUGACCCCUGCUGUGCCGCAGCUAACGCGUUAAGUGAUCCGCCUGGGGAGUACGGCCGCAAGGUUAAAACUCAAAGAAUUGACGGGGGCCCGCACAAGCGGUGGAGCAUGUGGUUUAAUUCGACGCAACGCGAAGAACCUUACCUGGAUUUGACAUCUCGGGAAUUUCUAUGAAAGUAGAAAGUGCCCUUCGGGGAGCCCGAUGACAGGUGCUGCAUGGCUGUCGUCAGCUCGUGUCGUGAGAUGUUGGGUUAAGUCCCGCAACGAGCGCAACCCCUAUCUUUAGUUACCAGCACUUCGGGUGGGGACUCUAAAGAUACUGCCCCGGUCAACGGGGAGGAAGGUGGGGAUGACGUCAAGUCCUCAUGGCCUUUAUGUCCAGGGCUACACACGUGCUACAAUGGGCAGUACAGAGGGUCGCGACACUGCGAGGUGGAGCUAAUCCCUUAAAGCUGUUCCAAGUUCGGAUUGGAGUCUGCAACUCGACUCCAUGAAGCUGGAAUCGCUAGUAAUCGCGGAUCAGCAUGCCGCGGUGAAUACGUUCCCGGGCCUUGUACACACCGCCCGUCACACCAUGAGAGUUGGUUGUACCCGACGUCGCUGGGCUAACUCAUUAGAGAUGCAGGCGCCUAAGGUAUGGCUGAUGAUUGGGGUGAAGUCGUAACAAGGUA
rnacentral:rRNA from 1 species